GACCACAUUGUUCUGCUGCUGGAAUGCGCAGUGCUUCUUUCAAUGAACAGUGAAAGUGUAUCUGGGGAUACAGUAUAUAUCUGGGGGUACAACGUGUGCAAGCGCCUGCCAGGAUAGUCGAAGGCGAUGGACCUUGGUCUUCUUUCGUCUAGCAAUUCUUAUGUUCUUCUGAUUUUCUAACGCUGUUUGUCGUGCGUGACUGGUGUUUACUUGUCUCCUCACCACCUUAGGUUUAUAAUCUGGGCUGCGCUGACUGAGGAAGUGACAGAUGUCCAUUCAUACCCUCUCUGAAGGCCUGACCUCAUUUUCAUCGCAUCAAGUCACACAGCAUCUCAGAUUCUGUUCUCGUUGAAUAAAUAUAACAGGCCUCACUGUGCACAGCAUAUCGCAACUAAACAAGUGGAAAGGCAAUGUACUCUGACCCAUACCUAGAGCACAGUGAGUGGCUUUAGUCCAAUCUUCGGAAGUGUGUGAAUACAGAAUUGGACUCUCUCUCUGGGGGGAAACACGUUGCUUGCUCUACCUUACAUCCCAGCCGAGAUCAGAAAUUCUCCACAUAUUGAAUCGCAAAGGAUGAACCCACGCCCUGCCAUUCCAUACACAGUUUCAGUGCAUUAUUGUAUAAGGGUAGCUUGAAUGACCCGAAAGGCAAAAUGUGACAGCGACAGCACUUUUAUACAGGGCUAUUCAGGGAGGGAGAAUGUCUUAAAGAUGAGAACCUUUGGGAAUCGCAGAUCAGUUAAUAUCGAGUACAGUGAAUAAAGACGUCUCUUUUUAUGUUCAAUGGGGUUGUCUGUUGUCCCAACUCUGAUCUCUCUGGCCAUACAUUGGUUUUACCCUGGUUCUGUUGGAUCUCCUUGUGUUCCAGCUCUAAUCUCUCACAGCUGCGAUUGCCGCCUAACUCCCUCUCUGAGCAGUUUAUAAUCAGCAAUAGCAAUAGUAGGGUAGCACCGCUGAGUAAUUGCUUUCUCACCAGUCACUUUUUCAGUUUCUGUUCAGAUCUUCAGCCAUCAGAAGAAGCAAAGGAAGUUAGAGUGAAGAACAAAGAGAAAAAGGAACAGAAGAAAGAUGUGAAUGGACUUGACUAGGUUGUAUCAUUAUAAAUUAUUUGCUGGAUUACUUUACUUAUUAUUACCUCUUAACCAUUAACAUUUACACUUUCACAUAUAUUUUUAAAAUGGGAGAGAAUUUAUUGUUUCGCAAGUUGGUUUGUGUGCAGUGCUGUGUUUUAUAUCACUAAGGGUUUCCGGACACACACAUACUUGAUUAAAGUCACUAAUUUGUAUGAAUGUAGUUUCAGAUCACUGGUGAGUACCAUUUGUCCUUUGUUACAACACAAACAAUGGAGUCUGAUAGAUGGUGAUUUUUAAUGGGAUUCCUCAAUAAGGAGUGGGCAGUUUUGGAAACGGAAAGUGGCACACAUCAUGCAAUCUGACAGGAACCUCACUCCAUCUUGAUCCAUGUUGCAGUCGAGCUCUCACAUGCCAGUUUUCCUUAAUCAGGUUUCCACAUCAAGGAAUGCCA